CUCAGAAACCGGAUCUCACUCUAGCGUUUAGAAGCUGCUAAGGCUUCCGCUCCUCACAGCGCGCGUUUGCACUGUGAGGGAGCUACAAUUGCUGGUACCAUCAGAAGACACCUGUUGAGUGUGUUUUAUGUCUUCUGCAGG